CUUGGGGCACCGCUGGCCUGGAGGAGGAGCUGCAGCCAUGGGAGCCUCGAUCGUCCUGUCAAGGUGCCCAGCCCAGCCGAAACCCCUCUCCCUCCCCCUCCCCUCUCGCUAUGGAUUGAUUAUGAAAUACCUCUUGUGUUGUUCAUUGAUCUGCAUGUUUACUAGUUUUUAGUUACCUUGCUUGCUGAUCUUGCGCUUCGGCAUGGAGCAAAUCAACUACUGGUUUUUGGUUUACCUGGUCAGGUUUACUUGUGUUGUGGCGGCAGGGAAGCGCGCCCCCGGCCAGCCAGCCGGGAACAGACAGGUGACUGCGUGGAUGCAUAUGACACCGGGUUGGAACUUCUCUUAAUUCGUUUUUAGCUCUUCUCCUCCGCUUGUGAUCUCUAUCAUUUGUACAGGUGAUAGCAUGGAGAGGAUAGUCCGUUCGUGCCCAACAUCGAGGCACGGUGCUUCUGGCUGCACCUCCUUGAGUAUUUCCAGCAAAUCUGCACUAUAUGUUAUAUCUGUGGCACAGCAUCGUCGACAGCAUGGCAGCGGCGCUCUUCUGGCCUGUUUAGAAAGCUUUGGUACAUGGCAUGGUACCACAGCGGACUGUACUUCACAAUAUACAUUUCUGGAAUAAGGCGUUGCAAUAUGAGACAGUCAAUUAAGAUCCGAUGAUGACCCUGAAAAUUCAGAGUUUAUCAAGUUAACUUGGGUGCCGAGGAGAUUUUACGUUCAUUGCUACUGAGCAUGCUAAUGUCCAUUGCUACUGAGCAUGCUAAUGUCCACUUGCCAUGGAAGUGAGGUAGUGCUCACAAUGUGUUUGCCACUGAGCAUGCUACUGAGCAGGGACAAACGUUGCAAGGUUGUGAUUAAUAUGCCUGAGCAGCAGAUGGAGAAGCUGCUGGAGAUGCUGCUGUGUCCACCAGCUACUAGAGAUGUUGCUGUGUGGAUCUGUUGUCAGAAUUGGAGAAGCAAGAAUAUUUUCAGAUAUUUUUUGAAUUGAGGAGACAACCCAUGGUUUGCUAGGUGUCGCUUGUGCUGCUUAUAGGUGCCUCGACGGCGGCGUCUGCUCGACCUGCAGCCUGCAGGUUGGUCCUCCUCGGCCACCAAGUCGUGCUCGCCUCUCCUCGGAGCAGCUCGCUGGUCGCCGCCCCAUCUUGCCGCUGGCGAGUACGUGGUUGCAUGUUGAAGGUCCUCCAGCCGCCAUCCUCUUGCAGCGAACCUCCAACCGGUCCUCCACAUCUAAGCAAGAUGUGUCAUGGAAGAAGAUGAAGUUAUAGAGAAGAUUAGGCCUUGAUGUUCUACAGCAAGGUGGUGUAUUGGAUUCAGUGGUGUGAGAUAUGGUUCUGCUGCUCACCAAUCAGUAGAAUUUGUUGUUGAUUUUCCAGGAGACACUGAGAAGGUCGUAGGGGACUGGGUGGCGGUGCUCCAAGCCAGCAGGGGGCUGGGUGGCAGUGUUCCACAUCAGUAGAACACUACUUAAUUUGCCUUUACAAAUUCUCGGAACUUAAGUAUGGGUGACGGCCUGCUUUUCGACAUAGAAGAAUACCAUAAGGAAAUGCUGUGCAUACCUCGACUGCUCUUCCUUUGGGUCGCCUGUUCUCUGUAUGUGUUUGGUCCAACAUAGAACUAAGAGGUGCUAUCUAUUUUUCAGGUUUCUAAUCAACUCGGUCUGCCUCAGAAUUAAGCUAAAGCUAAAUUUCUGGACAUAAUGCAUCAGCCAUAGGCCAUAGCAGUGCGUACCUCGACUAAGAGCUGUCUACCCAUGCUGGUGGAGGUGGUGGUCUAGCGAAGAAAGCUAGAAACUAAGUUACCCUGCGCCUGCAGAGAUGCUACUCCUUAAGAUCAGACUUAUUUUGCCUAUCCAUCGUCUAAUUCCAUGAUGGACUCAAAAACCUGUCCUUGGUGAUAUUUUUGUUCCGUCGUCCAGGUCUCUGUUGCCGAAUGUCUCAUUGUUGGUGUAUAUUGAGACCAGCUACCUCUGCCUUUUAGAAUCGGUGUUGGUUACACAAAACUCAUCAGGUUAUUGAUGCGUGUUUCCAAACUGAUCGAAACUUAUGUAUUUAGUACUAUUUACAUGUGAUCAAAACUUAUGUAUUGAAUGCGGUGUGAAUUUCUAUAUUGCUUCCCAUGUGUGCUUCAGCA